ACAGUACUGAACUAGUUAAUGUCCUUCUUGACUCUACAAAAAAACAUUAGAAAACAUGAGUAAAGUUACUAUCCUAAGCAUAGUCAUUUUCUUCAGUAUUAGAGCUGAGCUGCUCUCCACUCUUAGCAUCCAGCAGUCUCCACCACAUGUGCUGCAGAGACCUGACCAGAGAGAAGCAAAGCUUGGCUGUAGCCAUGGCGAUAGCAACUAUCCCUACAUGUACUGGUAUCAGCAGAAAAGUGGUUCCCUUAUGCUCAUUGGGAUGCUACACUAUGAAAGAGCUGCACCUGAGGAUAAUUUUAAAGCACGAUUUGACAUUACUGGACAUUCUAAAAGCAAGGCAUUUCUGGUCAUAUCCAACAUAACUUCUCUAGACAGUGGAGUGUAUUUCUGUGCUGCUAGUAGGCACAGCCAUACACCUCCUAUCUCUCCUCAUCAAAAACUCUACAUACUACCCACCUGUAAACAUGACUGAUCUCAGACUAAACUGUGUAAUAGAAUGCAGUAUAGGAACUCUGCCCUUAGGAGUCAGUAUUAAAAACGGAUAGU